GUGCCAGCAGCCGCGGUAAUACGUAGGGUGCGAGCGUUGUCCGGAAUUACUGGGCGUAAAGAGCUCGUAGGUGGUUUGUCGCGUCGUCUGUGAAAUUCCGGGGCUUAACUCCGGGCGUGCAGGCGAUACGGGCAUAACUUGAGUACUGUAGGGGAGACUGGAAUUCCUGGUGUAGCGGUGAAAUGCGCAGAUAUCAGGAGGACACCGGUGGCGAAGGCGGGUCUCUGGGCAGUAACUGACGCUGAGGAGCGAAAGCAUGGGGAGCGAACAGGAUUAGAU
rnacentral:rRNA from 1 species